rnacentral:rRNA from 1 species
GCCGCGGUAAUACGGAGGGUGCAAGCGUUAUCCGGAUUUAUUGGGCGUAAAGCGUCUGUAGGCGGAUGUGUAAGUUGGUCGUGAAAGCUCCGGGCUUAACCCGGAGAGGGCGUUCGAUACUGCAUAACUUGAGGGUGUCCGAGGGGAGCGGAAUUCCCGGUGUAGCGGUGAAAUGCGCAGAGAUCGGGAGGAACACCAGUGGCGGAGGCGGUUCCCUGGAUCACACCUGACGCUGAGAGACGAAAGCUAGGGGAGCGAACAGGAUUAGAGACCCUGGUAGUCCUAGCCCUAAACGAUGAAUGCUAGGUGUGGGAUCGAAUGUGUCCGUGCCGGAGCGUACGCAAUAAGCGUUCCGCCUGGGGAGUACGGCCGCAAGGUUAAAACUCAAACGAAUUGACGGGGCCCCGCACAAGCAGCGGAGCGUGUGGUUUAAUUCGAUGCUACACGAAGAACCUUACCUGGGUUUGACACGUAGGUGGUAGCGAAUCGAAAGUUGAACGGCCCUUCAGGGAGCCUACACAGGUGCUUCAUGCCUGUCGUCAGCUCUCGCCGUAAGGUGUCGGGCUAAGUCCGUUAACGAGCGCAGCCCUUACUCCUAGUUACAAGUGUCUAUGGGGACUGCCGGCGGACAACCGGAGGAAGAUGGGGAUGACGUCAAGUCAGCAUGCGCCCUAUAUCCACGGGUACACACACGCUACAAUGGUCGGUACAAAGGGCACAGAAACCGCGAGACGGAGCGAAUCCGAGAAAAGCCGAUCGCAGUUCGGAUAGCA